UCCUACGGGAGGCAGCAGUGGGGAAUUUUGGGCAAUGGGCGAAAGCCUGACCCAGCAACGCCGCGUGAAGGAGGAAAUCCUUCGGGAUGUAAACUUCACAAGCAAGGGAAGAGCGCGGGAGGUCGAAUAAACCUCCCGUCCGACGGUACCUUGCGUAAGCCACGGCUAACUACGUGCCAGCAGCCGCGGUAAUACGUAGGUGGCAAGCGUUGUUCGGAAUUAUUGGGCGUAAAGGGCGCGUAGGCGGCCUUGUAAGUCAGCUGUGAAGCCCGGGGCUCAACCCCGGAGGGUCGGCUGAUACUGCAGGGCUAGAGUACGGAAGAGUAGCUGGAAUUCCCGGUGUAGCGGUGAAAUGCGUAGAUAUCGGGAGGACACUGAGGCGAAGCGGCUACUGGGCCGAUACUGACGCUGAGGCGCGAAAGCCAGGGAGCACGGAUUAGAUACCCCGGUAGUCCUGGCCAACGAUGGACACUUGGUGUGCGGGUUUUUCAGUCCCGCUGCCGAGCUAACGCUUAAGUGUCCCCUGGGGAUACGGUCCCAGGCUAACUCAAGAAUUGACGGGACCCCAC
rnacentral:rRNA from 1 species